rnacentral:rRNA from 1 species
GAGUUUGAUUCUGGCUCAGGACAAACGCUGGCGGCGUGCAUAACACAUGCAAGUCGAACGAAAUCUACAUGAUUUAGUGGCGAACGGGUGAGUAACACGUGAGAAACCUGCCUUACACAGAGGGAUAGCCGUUGGAAACGACGAUUAAUACCUCAUGACACCGUGACAUCGCAUGAUGAUGCGGUCAAAGAUUUAUCGGUGUAAGAUGGUCUCGCGCCUGAUUAGCUGGUUGGUGGGGUAACGGCCUACCAAGGCGACGAUCAGUAGCCGAUCUGAGAGGGUGGACGGCCACAUUGGGACUGAGACACGGCCCAAACUCCUACGGGAGGCAGCAGUGGGGAAUUUUGCACAAUGGGGGAAACCCUGAUGCAGCGACGCCGCGUGAACGAAGAAGGCCUUCGGGUUGUAAAGUUCUGUCCUUGGUGAAGAUAA